ACGACAGAGCUCAGAGCCCCAGAAGAAAGGAGAAGACUGAAUUCAGUCUUUCUUGGGGAAAAAUUGUUUUCUGUCAAGUUGAUAAUAAUGAUCACACUGAGAAUGAAUGAUUCACGAUGAAUAUCCAAAGAUAUAUCAAAACCUGGUCAGCAGUGGUGGGGAAAGGAAGAAAGCCUGAGUGGAGUUUAUGAAAGUUUUCCACUAAAGUCAGCAACAGCUUAAAUUCAAACCAGGCACAAGACGCUUGAAUCUCCAUAUGAGUUGUUCAUCAAAGGGCUAAAAGAAAAGAAAUCUGAGCCCGAGCAGGGUCUGGCCUAAAAGCUUUCAAGUGACUCCUUUCUGAUCUGUCAAGACACUCGGAUAAUUCAUCUGAUCACAUGGAUUUCCAUUCCAGGCCUUGAGAGACAAGAAAUCCGGUCAUCACAGAGAGCCUGGGCAAUUAAACUGAAUCAGCGCUCCCGGUCUCAGCGGAUGUCUUCUGGGUUACCAUGGGGGACAUGGGUUGGUAUGAGGUUUAAUCAGGCACUAACAGCACCUUGCUGGGAACUUCAUGGUUGAUAAAGGCAGCUGCAUCAGACCAAGUAGCUCCUACUUUUUAAAGAGAAAGCAGCCUCUUUUGAAAUGUAAAAAAGGCAGGCUUUGUUGCAACGUGCAGUAUGAAGAGAAUCUGAGAGGAGUUGCAGUUGUUUGUUUCAUAGUCCUAGCAUUCUUUUUGGGUCUCAAUAAUGAAGUGAAAGGCACCCCUAAGGCUAAAUUUUUAAGGGUUCCCUAUGAACCCCAAGCUGGACAGCCCUGCGGGCCCCAUUGCUGGUUCGCUAUUAUGUAGGGUUUCACUAUUACACUUGUCUUUGUCACAUCGCUUUGUGAAUGACAUUGGUCACAACUAGGUUCUUGUGCCAUUUUGAAUAGCUGGAUUCAUGUGCAAAAAAAAAAAAA